AGCCGCCGAGAACAGUUCCGCGGUUUCGGAUUGAACCAGUACGGUGCUUACCUUUUAACCGUCCCCUAAGAGUUCGCUCCUCAGCCCUGCCUCCUGUGUGACGUCAUUGUUAUUUGCAUAAGAUUCCCCGGCAUCCCACGCGAGUGUUGUGGCGGUUACAAAAAUCAGACUCCCGACCCAGCUGGUGAGCCAAUAAUAAGAAACGACUCGGGGCUUUGGAACUGAAACAGAGCUGCUCGAGUGGCGGCGUCCUACGUCCGCGGGCGCGAGGGAAGCUACUCACCGUCACUGUGAAGGCUGUUGGCGUCCCUGGGACGGCGGGGUGGGCGGUCCGUUUCUUCAGCUUUGCGCAGUGGCAGUAUCGUAGCCAAUGAGGUUUAUCCGAGGCGCGAUUAUUGCUAAUUGAAAACUUUUCCCAAUACCCCGCCGUGACGACUUGAAAUAUAGUCGGCAUUGGCAAUUUUUGACAGUCUCUACGGAGACUGAGCUUUAUUCGGUGAAAAGCCAGAAUUGAGAAUUUCGGUUUAGCUUCUGUGAGCUUGUUUAGGGUUUUCAGUUAUUUGAAAGCAGUGUGUCGGUGGUGUUCUGUGUAUGUGGUUGUAAUGUGAUUUGCUGUUGAAGUUGGUAGAACUCGGCCUGACACUUUUGGUUCGUGGACUGCUCGAUCUCCUCAUUUGUUUUCGAAAGGGCUGGCUGCACACGGGCACAGGAGAGGACUGGCGGAGCUGGAGCUGGAACCAAGUGGGCUUACCUCUGGUGUUAGAGUUUCUACUACACCAGCCUCCUGCAGUCCUGUCCCAUUAGGCGGCUCAGAGGGCUUCAGGAGUUGUACCCCUGGCCAUGGCAGUUCUAGCUGCUACUGCUCUUGUCCUCCACCCUCCGGCCACUCCUUUGACCUGAGGCAAAAGGAUGUGGUGGUCACCAGUGACUAAGGUGGUCGCAGCGGUACCCACAUUGUGAGCCACACUGGGCAGGAUAGCUCCAGGGGUAAAUUAGACCCAGCCCUUGCUUCAGAGUUCACAGUCGAGAUAGACGACUACCAAGCAAACAGAUGGAAUUCCUGGUUCCAGGCCCCAGUUUGGACCAGCGCUGGCCAUUGUCUCCAUUCAGGGAGUGAACAGGUUGGAUGAAAGAUCUUUGUCUUUCAAAUAACUAAAAAUCUAGAUCAGUUCCUUUGCUUUUUUUUUUUUUCUUCCCUUCACAACACUGAUAUUUUGAACAGUCCAAGAAAUGUAGCCUGUCCCACAUUCUGGCUUCAUCUGAUUGUGUGUGCGUGUGUGUGUAUGUGAAGAUUUAUUUAUUAAUGUAAUUGCAAAGCAAAAUUAGGGAGACAGAGAGAGGUCUUCUAUCCACUGGUUAACUCUCCAAAUGGCUGCAACAGCCGGAGCUUCUUCCAGGUCUCCCAUAUGGGUUGCCAGAAGGAACUGGGCCAUCUUCUGCUGCUUUUCCAGGCACAUUAGCAGGGAGCUGGAUCAGAAAUGGAGCAGCCGGUCUCAAACUGGCGCCAUAUGGGAUGCCGGCACUGCAGGCAGUGGCUUUACCUGCUGUGCCACAGCGCUAUCCCUGUAAGCAGUAAUCUGAAAUGAACAACCUCUGACAUAGGAGCCAUUUCAUAGUGAAUCCCUUUACUUUACAACAACUCCUCUAAACUGCUUCCUGUAGGGCUAAGAUAAAUCAGUGUUGCUUCUCUGGAACCCAGCACAGGUAUUCUAGGCCCGGGAAGGAUUCAGGGCCUGGCAGCCCAAAGUAGUCGAGAAAUGUUCCCUGACAAACCAGUGUGUCUGAACUGAAUGAAGGGGAUGGAAAGAGAGAGUUGAUGAGAACUAAAAGGGUGUCCUAGAGCCCCCAAACAUGAUGGAAACUGCAGGAGGAGCCAGUGUGCUGCCCAGACGGUGACAGUUCAAGGAACUGUGAUCUCCUUGAGUGUGAGGUCUGAAGAUCCACUCCAGUGGUUUACCCACUGGUUGGGUGUAAAAGAAGCCUGGAGAAAACUGAGGGUGGAACCCUCCCACCCCCCAGCUUAUUUUGUGUUGAUCAGGAGGUCAGAUGAUGCCCUGGUGAUCCAGACACCGGAAUCCUCUCUCAACUCACUCCCUGCCCGUACAUUUGGAAUUCAGUAUGGCUGGAUUCUUAAUCGCUCUCCUUUUAACAAUUUAAUUGGGAAUGUCUUUUGUUUAUUUGAAAGGCAGAGCAAGAGAGAGAGAGAGAGGAGAGAAUCUUCCACCCACUGAGUCAUUUUCCAAAUGCCCACAGCAGGUGGAGCUGGACCAGGUCAAAUCCAGGAACCUAGAACUCCACCCUGGUCUCAUGUGUGCAGCAGAGACACAAAUACUUGAGGCAUCACCUGCUGCCUCCCAGAAUGCCGGUUGGCAGGAAGCUGAAUUGGAAGCACAGGAGACUCAAUCCUGGGCACUGUGAUGCAGGAUCCGGCGUCUCAAGUGGCAGUUUAACCCGCUGCACCACAAUGUCCACCCUCUGGCCUUUUUUAAAUAAAAUAUUUAUGACAAACAUACACUUUUUUAAAAGAUUUAUUUUAUUGGGGCUGGUGCUGUGGUGUAAUGGGUAGAGCCACUGACUACAGCGCCAGCAUCCCAUAUGGUUUUUUUUUUUUUUUUUAAGAUUUAUUUAUUUAAUCAAAAGUCAGAGUUACACAGAGAGAGGUAAGGCAGAGAGAGAGAGAGGUCUUCCAUCCGCUGGCCCACUCCCCAGACGGCUGCAACAGCCGGAGCUGUGCUGAUCCGAAGCCAGGAGCCAGGAGCCUCCUCUGAGUCUCCCCCAUGGGUGCAAGGGCCCAAGGACCUGGGCCAUCUUCUGCUGCUUUCCCAGGCCACAGUAGAGAGCUAGAUUGGAAGUGGAGCAGCCGGGUCUCGAACCGGCACCCAUAUGGGAUGUCAGCGCUGCAGGCCAGGAUGUUAACCUGCUGUGCCACAGCACCAGCCCCCCAAUAUGGGUUUCUUUCUUUUUCUUUUUUUUUUUUUUUUAAGAUUUAUUUUAUUUACUUGAAAGAGUUACAGAGAGAGGUAGAGAUAGAGAGGUCUUCCAUCUGCUGGUUCAUUCCCCAGUUGGCCACAGUGGCUGGAGCUGCACCGAUCCAAAGCCAGGAGCCAGGAGCUUCCUCCGGGUCUCCCAUGUGGGUGCAGGGGCCCAAGAACUUGGGGGCCAUCUUCUACUGCUAUCCCAGGCCAUAACAAAGAGCUGGAUGGGAAGAGGAGCAGGGACUAGAACUGGCGCCCAUAUGGGAUGCUGGCCAGGGUGUUAACCUGCUGUGCCACAGCGCCAGCCCCCCAUAUGGGUUUCAAUCCUGGCUUCAUCAUUUCCAAUCCAGCUCCCUGUAAAUGCACCUGGGAAAGCAGCGGAGAAUGGUCCAAGUGCUUGGGCCCCCUGCAUACAUGUGGGAGACCUGGAUGAAACUCCUGACUUCAGCCUGGCCAGUCCUAUCCAUUGCGGCCAUCUGGAUCUCCCACAUAGGUGGCAGGGGUCCAAGCACUCGGGCGAUCAUCCGCUGCCUUCCCUGGGCACAUUAGCAGAGAGCAGGAUUGGAAACAGAGCAGUGAGGACUUCAGCUAGUGCUCUGAUAUUGGAUUCUAGCGUUGCAGGUGGUGAUGAACCCACUGUGCCACAAUGCCGGCCCCCACAGAAAGGGUUUUUUUUUUUUUUUUAAUUUAUUUAUUAUUUGAGAGAGAGCUCUCCCAUCUACUGGCUUGCUCCCUGAGUACCCACAGUGGCGGGGGCUGGGCAAAGGCCAAAGCCAGAUACAGGAACUCAACCCCAGGUCCCACCAUGUGGGUGGCAGGAGCCCAGUCGCUUGAGUUAUCACUGCUUCCCGCGGUCUGAUUGACACCAAGCUGGAAUCAGGAGUGGGGUGAGGACUCGAACCCUGGUAGUGCAAAGGGGGUUGCAGGCCAACUCCUAGGCUAAAUGUCAAUUCAGUCCUCUUUUUUUUUUUUAUUAGAAAAGUAAAAUAGUACAGGAGCAUGAACUCUUAUGCUUUGCUUGCAGGGGUGUCAUCUUGUAAAACCACUGUGAAAAAGAUUUGCGAUGCCCUGACGGUUCCAGCUCCAGACAGGGGCUAAUUGAGGUGCAACAAGAAGUCGGCCUUCUGUAACCCAGAGAAGGACUCCUCACAGCGGAACCUGACCUUGCUGGUGCCCUGAGCUUGGACUUCCAGCAUGCAGAAUUGUGAGAAAGAAAUUUCUGUUGUUUGGAAGUCACUUGACCUAGGGUGUCACUCGACCUAGGGCACCUUGAACUAAGAUACCAGAUAUGGUAUCCUGUUCAUCCCAGAAGCUCCAGGGCCAACCAAGUUUUUGACUAAUUAUAGAUUCUUCGUUCUGACUCUCUCAGCUGUUGCUUCACGUCUGACCCAGAGUGUUACUUCUCACUGUAUCUCACCUGCAGAGGAAUCUGGGGCCCGGACUAUACACUGGCAUCAUCCACCCCCAAGGGUGGUGAAGGACUGGUGAUAGAGUAACCGCUUCUCUUAGAAUUAAGACAAGAGUAAAGGAUGUAGUGGGUAAAGCUGCCGCCUGCAGUACCAGUAUCCCAUAUGGCCGCCGGUUCGAGACCCAGCUGCUCUGCUUCCUAUCCAGCUCUCUGCUAUGGCCUGGGAAAGCAGUAGAAGAUGGCCCAAGUCCUUGGGCCCCUGCACCCACCUGGGAGACCCGGAAGAAGCUCUUGGCUCCAGGCUUUGGAUUGGCCCAGCUCCGUCUGUUGCAGCCAUCUGGGGAGUGAACC